rnacentral:lncRNA from 1 species
AUAAGCAUAAUAGAAAACUUUUUAACAUUUUAACAUACGAUUUAACACAAGGCCAGAAAUGCCUUCCUGAAUAAAAAUGUUUUUAGUCCAGCUUUAAAGGAGUCCAGCGUCUGCGUUGCCCUUAGGUGGUCAGGGAGGCUGUUCCAUAAGCGUGGCGCUGCCGAGCAAAAGGCCCGGUCGCCCAUGGUGCGGAGCUUUGUUUUGGGGACGCGGAGGAGCGAGCUGUUUGAAGACCUGAGGGUGCAGGUGGAGGUUUGGGGAGAUGUGUUAAUCAUUCAGUAGACAUGGUAGUAAAUAGGCAUUUUGGAAGUGAGUAAGCAUUUAAUUAAACUAACAACUUUUCCUCUUCUCACCCAGACAUGAAGUUGGAUUGCCACUGGACCAUGCACCAUGCUGACAGCAAAAGACUGUCCUGUGCCAGUGUUGAGAAUGAUGCUUCGACAAAGACCAUGCUCGUCUUCUUUGACCCAACCAUGGCCAACAGUAUUCAGUCUGCCCACCUUCCCCCCAGAAAAAGUACCCAAACCAUAAACAAUAUACAGAUGUUCUGGGAUGUCUCAUCAACAGAUUUCCGUUUCUUGGAGAACACAGCUCCUCUGGAGACCCUACUUGAGUGUCUGAGGAACAAAAUAAAAAAAGAAAGGUCACCUUUAGGCAACUUGACGUCCAGGAAAUUAAGAGAAAGUUUGGUGCUGG